rnacentral:rRNA from 1 species
AUUGAACGCUGGCGGAAUGCUUUACACAUGCAAGUCGAACGGUAACAGGUCUUCGGAUGCUGACGAGUGGCGAACGGGUGAGUAAUAUAUCGGAACGUGCCCAGUCGUGGGGGAUAACGUAGCGAAAGUUACGCUAAUACCGCAUACGAUCUACGGAUGAAAGCGGGGGAUCGCAAGACCUCGCGCGAUUGGAGCGGCCGAUAUCAGAUUAGGUAGUUGGCGGGGUAAAGGCUCACCAAGCCAACGAUCUGUAGCUGGUCUGAGGGGACGACCAGCCAAACUGGAACGGGGACACGGUCCAGACUCCUACGGGAGGCAGCAGUGGGGAAUUUUGGACAAUGGGCGCAAGUCUGAUCCAGCCAUUCCGCGUGCAGGAUGAAGGCCCUCGGGUUGUAAACUGCUUUUGUACGGAACGAAAAGGUCUCUAUUAAUACUGGGGGCUAAUGACGGUACCGUAAGAAUAAGCACCGGCUAACUACGUGCCAGCAGCCGCCGUAAAAC